AUUGAACGCUGGCGGCAGGCCUAACACAUGCAAGUCGAACGAGUGGCGGACGGGUGAGUAAUGUCUGGGAAACUGCCUGACGGAGGGGGAUAACUACUGGAAACGGUAGCUAAUACCGCAUACCAUCAGAUGUGCCCAGACGGGAUUAGCUUGUUGGUGGGGUAACGGCUCACCAAGGAGACGAUCCCGAGCUGGUCUGAGAGGAUGACCAGCCAGACGGGAACUGGGACACGGUCCAGAGUCCUACGGGGGGCAGCAGUGGGGAAUGUUGCACAAGGGGCGCAAGCCUGAUGCAGCCAUGCCGCGUGUAUGAAAAAGGCCUUCGGGUUGUAAAGUACUUUCAGCGGGGAGGCGUUACCCGCAGAAGAAGCACCGGCUAACUCCGUGCCAGCCGCCGCGGUAAUAC
rnacentral:rRNA from 1 species